CCCUGCCUACGGGGCGCAGCAGUAGGGAAUCUUCCACAAUGGACGAAAGUCUGGUGGAGCAACGCCGCGUGAGUGAAGAAGGGUUUCGGCUCGUAAAGCUCUGUUGGUAGUGAAGAAAGAUAGAGGUAGUAACUGGCCUUUAUUUGACGGUAAUUACUUAGAAAGUCACGGCUAACUACGUGCCAGCAGCCGCGGUAAUACGUAGGUGGCAAGCGUUGUCCGGAUUUAUUUGGCGUAAA
rnacentral:rRNA from 1 species